UACGAGGGGGGCUAGCGUUGCUCGGAAUUACUGGGCGUAAAGCGCACGUAGGCGGAUUGUUAAGUCGGGGGUGAAAUCCUGGAGCUCAACUCCAGAACUGCCUUUGAUACUGGCGACCUUGAGUCCGGGAGAGGUGAGUGGAACUGCGAGUGUAGAGGUGAAAUUCGUAGAUAUUCGCAAGAACACCAGUGGCGAAGGCGGCUCACUGGCCCGGUACUGACGCUGAGGUGCGAAAGCGUGGGGAGCAAACAGG
rnacentral:rRNA from 1 species